AUGGGUUUCCGGUUGCCUGGUAUUCUACAUGUUAAGAAAAAUCUUCUUCAGUCUUUACCAACUUCAAACCAAGUACAUUCAAAGCCUUAGAUGUCCCUAAAGGCUAUUUUGCAGUCUAUGUUGGGGAGAGCCAGAAGAAGAGGUUUGUCAUUCCAGUGUCGUACUUGAACCACCCUUCUUUCCAAGAUUUGUUAAGUCAAGCUGAAGAAGAAUUUGGAUAUGAUCAUCCAAUGGGUGGUAUCACGAUCCCCUGCAACGAAGAUACCUUUCUUGAUCUCAUCUCUCAGUUUGGUCUAUGA
rnacentral:lncRNA from 1 species